ACAACAAAUCUGUGAGGGGAGAGGUACGAACGUUCCAAAUCAUCCGCGGGUGAGACAUUGAGAGGGGGCGAUGGAAAAUCGAUGCCACCGGGCGCCGCGCCGAACGGCUCUGCGUAACGCUUUUACACAUUUUCAGGACCACUUGUUGAAAACAUUGUCGGGAGCCGAUUCAACGGCCGGUAGAGUGCUUUACCCGGUAUCGGGAGCCAAUUCAACGGUCGCCGUACACGCAUAUUGUAAAUAAAUACGUGUAUUACAUUAGGGGGCCGAUACUGGGUACGCAUUUAACGACGACGGUGAUAAUAAUAGUAAUAACAAGCAAUACAGGUACCGUCGGUUUUUGAAAUUGAAUUAUUUUCGUUGCGCCCGUGCGGCGAGCAAUUUUUCCCACGUUACCGGCACGACGUGACGGUGUCGCACAACGCAACGGCGUUUGUUUUCG